rnacentral:rRNA from 1 species
AGAGUUUGAUCCUGGCUCAGGACGAACGCUGGCGGCGCGCUUAACACAUGCAAGUCGAGCGAGAACCGGAGCUUCGGCUCCGGGGAAAGCGGCGAACGGGUGAGUAACACGUGGGCAACCUGCCCUCGGCACCGGGAUAGCCCGGGGAAACCCGGAUUAAUACCGGACAGCCUCCGGAGCCUUCGGGCACCGGAGAAAAGGUAGCUUCGGCUUCCGGCUGAGGAGGGGCCUGCGGCGGAUUAGCUUGUUGGUGGGGUAACGGCUCACCAAGGCGACGAUCCGUAGCUGGUCUGAGAGGACGAUCAGCCACACUGGGACUGAGACACGGCCCAGACUCCUACGGGAGGCAGCAGUGGGGAAUCUUGCGCAAUGGGCGAAAGCCUGACGCAGCGACGCCGCGUGCGGGAAGAAGGCCUUCGGGUUGUAAACAGCUUUCAGGAGGGACGAAGCCACUCGGGUUAGUAGCCCAGAGGGUGACGGACCUCCAGAGAAGCCCCGGA